rnacentral:rRNA from 1 species
AACGAACGCUGGCGGCAUGCCUAACACAUGCAAGUCGAACGAGACCUUCGGGUCUAGUGGCGCACGGGUGCGUAACACGUGGGAAUCUGCCCUUUGCUUCGGAAUAACAGUUAGAAAUGACUGCUAAUACCGGAUGAUGUCGAAAGACCAAAGAUUUAUCGGCAAAGGAUGAGCCCGCGUAGGAUUAGGUAGUUGGUGGGGUAAAGGCCUACCAAGCCGACGAUCCUUAGCUGGUCUGAGAGGAUGAUCAGCCACACUGGGACUGAGACACGGCCCAGACUCCUACGGGAGGCAGCAGUGGGGAAUAUUGGAAAAUGGGCGAAAGGCUGAUCCAGCAAUGCCGCGGGAGUGAUGAAGGCCUUAGGGUUGUAAAGCUCUUUUACCAGGGAUGAUAAUGACAGUACCUGGAGAAUAAGCUCCGGCUAACUCCGUG